UAAUACGUAGGGGGCAAGCGUUGUCCGGAUUUAUUGGGCGUAAAGAGCGUGUAGGCGGCCGUGUAGGUCCGUUGUGAAAACUCGAGGCUCAACCUCGAGACGUCGAUGGAAACCACACGGCUAGAGUCCGGAAGAGGAGAGUGGAAUUCCUGGUGUAGCGGUGAAAUGCGCAGAUAUCAGGAAGAACACCUAUGGCGAAGGCAGCUCUCUGGGACGGUACUGACGCUGAGACGCGAAAGCGUGGGGAGCGAACAGGAUUAGAUACCCUGGUAGUCCACGCCGUAAACGAUGAGUGCUAGGUGUGGGGGGUGUCGACUCCCUCCGUGCCGAAGCUAACGCAUUAAGCACUCCGCCUGGGGAGUACGGCCGCAAGGCUA
rnacentral:rRNA from 1 species